rnacentral:rRNA from 1 species
UGUAGCUUGGUACAGAUGACGACCGGCGCACGGGUGAGUAACGCGUAUGCAACCUGCCUUUGACAGGGGGAUAGCCCGGAGAAAUCCGGAUUAAUAUCCCAUGGUAUUUACGAAUCGCAUGGUUUGUAAAUUAAAGAUUUUAUCGGUCAAAGAUGGGCAUGCGUGACAUUAGCUAGUUGGUAAGGUAACGGCUUACCAAGGCUGCGAUGUCUAGGGGUUCUGAGAGGAUGAUCCCCCACACUGGUACUGAGACACGGACCAGACUCCUACGGGAGGCAGCAGUGAGGAAUAUUGGUCAAUGGGCGCAAGCCUGAACCAGCCAUCCCGCGUGAAGGAAGACUGCCCUAUGGGUUGUAAACUUCUUUUCUGCACCAAGAAUGGUUACUACGUGUAGUGAUUUGACGGUAGUGCAGGAAUAAGCAUCGGCUAACUCCGUGCCAGCAGCCGCGGUAAUACGGAGGAUGCAAGCGUUAUCCGGAUUCAUUGGGUUUAAAGGGUACGUAGGUGGCCAAUUAAGUCAGUGGUGAAAUCCUGCCGCUUAACGGUAGAACUGCCAUUGAAACUGGUUGGCUUGAGUACAGUUGAGGUAGGCGGAAUGUGUAGUGUAGCGGUGAAAUGCUUAGAUAUUACACAGAACCCCGAUUGCGAAGGCAGCUUACUAAACUGUAACUGACACUGAGGUACGAAAGCGUGGGGAGCGAACAGGAUUAGAUACCCUGGUAGUCCACGCUGUAAACGAUGCUCACUCGCUGUAUGCGAUACAUUGUAUGCGGCCAAGCGAAAGUCUUAAGUGAGCCACCUGGGGAGUACGUUGGCAACAGUGAAACUCAAAGGAAUUGACGGGGGCCCGCACAAGCGGAGGAACUUGUGGUUUAAUUCGAUGAUACGCGAGGAACCUUACCUGGGCUUAAAUGCAGAAUGACAGACGUCGAAAGAUGUUUUUCUUCGGACAGUUUGCAAGGUGCUGCAUGGUUG